GGUAUCUACAAAUCAAUAAUUGAAUUAGAGGAUACAAAUGUGCAGUUUAUCCUCAGAAAUCCUUUGGUUUUUCACAUUAAGCUACAGGUAUUCUAUUGAGUGAUUGGGCAGAGUGGUAAUAUUUUAUAAG